GCCAGUACGGAUGGUCUGGCAACAUGGAGAGAAUCAUGAAAGCACAAGCGUACCAAACGGGCAAGGACAUCUCUACAAAUUACUAUGCGAGUCAGAAGAAAACAUUUGAAAUUAAUCCCAGACACCCGCUGAUCAGAGACAUGCUUCGACGAAUUAAGGUAGUAUUAAAGCAGUCCUCUUGCUUGUCUUUUAAUUUGAGUACUUUGUAUCUUUUAAUAUUAAUCUAGUGCAUCUUCUUGCAUUUCAGGAAGAUGAAGAUGAUAAAACAGUUUUGGAUCUUGCUGUGGUUUUGUUUGAAACAGCAACGCUUCGGUCAGGGUAUCUUUUACCAGACACUAAAGCAUAUGGAGAUAGAAUAGAAAGAAUGCUUCGCCUCAGUUUGAACAUUGACCCUGAUGCAAAGGUGGAAGAAGAGCCCGAAGAAGAACCUGAAGAGACAGCAGAAGACACAACAGAAGACACAGAGCAAGACGAAGAUGAAGAAAUGGAUGUG
rnacentral:lncRNA from 1 species